GCAUGCUUUGUUGAGCUGGGGUGCCAGAGCAUGGGAUCACACAUAACUGGAGAUACCUGCCACUUGUGGGUGAUCCUUUUAACUGCAAGCAACAGGG